AUGCUGAGGGUAAGAAGCAAGUUAAGCUCCCUGAGCCCUCAGGGGUUCAUCUCUCCAAGGAGGAACCAGGAGGUGAGCCCAGACAUUCCUUCCCCACCCAUCCAUUGGCCAAUGCGUGAAAUUUCUGUUCCUCUCGUUCACGCACUCAUUCAUCCCGCAUUCAUUUACCCUACAAAUAUUUCCCAAGUGCCUACCCUCUGCCAGGCAUGGGAAACGCCAAGCGAAACAAGACAGCCUCACAGUUCCAGGCUGCAGGGAGCUCCCGGCCUAGCUGGCAAGAUAAGUUAUGUUGGCAGAAGGGCAAGAUGAUCAGUCAGGCAUGAGGCAGGGAACAAAAACAGGGCCCAGGGUGAGAGGUGGUGGAGGGGAGCAGCCAGGGGAACAGACACCCAGGAAUGCCAGGCAGGUGAAGAGAGAAGGAGGACAUCAUCAGGGGAUGGUAUGCGGGGAGGUACAGAGACCAGAGGGCUGGGGCAGGUGUUGGAGGAACUGGUGAAAUUCUAGCAUGGCUGGGCAGACAUGAGGUGAUCCAUGUGUCCUGGUUUGCCUGGGCUGGUCCCAGUUUUAGUACUGAAAGUCUCUGUCCUGGGAAAUUGUUCAUUCUUGGGAAAACCCACACCACUGAGCACGCUAGCAGGCUAGCUGGGGAAGAACAGCGUAGAAAUGAAGCUGCCAGGGAGACAGGGGAGGCCCCGAAGGGGAGGGUGGAAUGAAGUGACUUCACACAAUUUCUUAGCCAUUUUGCCCCACUUCUAGACGGAAAGUGACAUGUUUCCUCGAGUGGCAGGAGCGUGUGCUUGUUCACAGCCCCCUUAAAUUGUGAGAUGCGUGGACAGGUGGGUCCCCCAGCUCUCCCCAGGGAUGCUGGUGGAUGGUCCUGCCUCCGUGACUAGGAGGACAGUGGCCAUCUCACCCUUGCAGAGUCUCAGCUUCCCAGACAGCUCUUCCCUCCUCCUGCAGGGAGGUGUCUUUCUAGGGGUCUCUUUGGCUUGGCCAACUUCCACCUUCCCCCUGGAGUGUGUUCCCCUGUGCCAGCUGUUCCUGGGGGGAUUCUGGAAAGCUGAUUGGCUAUGAAUCCAUAAGGAAAUGGGAUCUGGGGCCCAGGCCUGGAUGCUGCCCGUUCAUGGCAGUCUCACCUGUCCACGGUGAUCUGCCAGUAACCCUCGACGGUAACAGGCACCCAGUUCAGACUUCCAGUGUAGUAAGAAGAGUCAAUGCCACCAAAGAUCACCACGCUGCCACUCUUGUCAUCGCUGUGGAAAGUGAGGGGAGAAGACAUGAAUUUUUUUGUUCGUCCAUUUGUGUGACCAUCUGCUGUUGCCUCCUCAGAGCGACCGUUGAUUGGGCACUUUCCAGGGCUGUCCUGGGGUGUGACCAAUGUGGUUUCUUUUCCUCUUAGGCCAGGGCCCAUGCAGUGGGCACCGUCACUGUUGUUUCCACUUACCAUGAGGACACUGAGCCUGAGGGAGGUGAGGCCACCUGCCCAAGGUCACACAGCGGGGGAGUGGUGGAACUACGUUUGGAAGAACACAGGCCUUAUAGUUUGAAUGUGUGGUUUCCACCGUGGUACCCACUCUGGUUGCCAUGGGGACCCCAGGGAAGUGAAUGCAUGACAGUGUCCGCUCUUAAGGACUUGAGGGUGGAGGUCACUGGUUCUUAGCUGGGAGCAGUUUUGCCCCCAGGGGCAUGUCUGGAGACAUUUUGGAUUGUCAUGAUUGGGUGGGGGUAGGGGAUGCUGCCGGCAUCUCAUGGGUAGAGGCUGGGGAUGCUGCCAAACAUCCUACAAUGCACGGGACAGUCCUUGGCGGCAAGGAAUUAUGGUGGUCUGAAAUGUUAACAGUGCCCAGAUUGAGAAACUCGGAUCUGGCUGGGGAGAUACAAUGGCCCCACAUGAAAUAUUUAAGUGCUCAUAAAGGCAGAUGAUGUUUCAGAGCCACCUUGAACAUUAACUGGCCAAGAAGAAUACAUGACAAAGAGCCUUCCUGUUGUAAAUUGCAGGAGUCCUUGUUAUUGCAAUAUUCAUUUUCUAAAUCUCUGCAGUUUCAGGUUAGAUGUGGAAGGAAAUGUAGACGGCAAUAAGAAAUUAAUUAUCCGGGGCUGGGCGUGGUGGCUCAUGCCUGUAAUCCCAGCACUUUGUGAGGCCAAGGCAGGUGGAUCACGAGGUCAGGAGAUGGAGACCAUCCUGGCUAACAGGGUGAAACCCCAUCUCUACUAAAAAUACAAAAAAUUAGCUGGGCAUGGUGGCCCAUGCCUGUAGUCCCAGCUACUCGGGAUGCUGAGGUAGACAAUGGCAUGAACCCAGGAGGCAGAGCUUGCAGUGAGGCGAGAUAGCGCCACUGCACUCCAGCCUGGGCGACAGAGCGAGACCCCAUCACAAAAAAAAAAAAAAAGAAAUUAAUCAUCCGAGAACUGGCCAUUUCUAAAACAUGACCCCACUCACUGAACCCACCCCACCUUUGCUGCGAACAUCUCACAGUGCAAGGCAAUAUAGUGAGGACCUAGACGUGUAGUUACCAACCGAGGAGACACAUGAAUGACGGCGAACCCUUUCAAGAGAGGACGAUGUAGGUGAGUGUUAGAGGAAAGCUGAAUGUCUUAAGAAAGUGGAGGAUGCCCUCAGGUAUUCUUGCAUAACACUCUACUCAGCCCAAACUGACAUUUGGUUUAUUCUUUGUUCAUUUGUUUGUUUGUUCAUUUAUUCUUUGUUCAUUCCUAGAAUUAGCCCCCG
rnacentral:lncRNA from 1 species